GACAGAGGGUGCAAACGUUGUUCGGAAUUACUGGGCGUAAAGCGCGUGUAGGCGGCCCUGCAAGUCGGAUGUGAAAUCCCACGGCUCAACCGUGGAAGUGCAUUCGAAACUGCAGGGCUAGAGUCCUGGAGAGGAAGGUGGAAUGCUUGGUGUAGAGGUGAAAUUCGUAGAUAUCAAGCGGAACACCGGUGGCGAAGGCGGCCUUCUGGACAGUGACUGACGCUGAGGCACGAAGGCCAGGGG
rnacentral:rRNA from 1 species